UGCUCCGCCGACUCUGCUUAAUGCAAUUCAGGCGAAAGGCGCACAAAGGGACAGCGAACAAGAUGCCGAGUUGCUGAUUGUGCGGGCAGCGCAGUCGACGCGGGCAGAGGUGUCCGCAAAAGCUUUUGUCGCCGCCACAAACAUGGAAUAUGACAAGCUGGUGAGGAGUAGGAUGGGAUUCGGAUUGGGAUGGAAUGGGAUCGAGCUGAAUGGGCUGAGAGCAGCAAGAGGAGGAGGAACGGGAAGAUACUGCUGGAUGGUGCCUGGCAUGCAAAGCAUUGUCAAGUGGGGAGCAGGCCAAGUGCUACACAAAAACCGAGCGACAAAGAAACGUCGCAGAACGCUGCCGACGCACGUGAGAUGUGGAUGCAUUUGAUGCACGGAGCGAGAAAGGGAUGUAGAAAUUAGUAGUUUGAAAUUAUUGU
ensembl:ncRNA lncRNA:CR45243 long non-coding RNA:CR45243